GGGGGCGUAGCUCAGAUGGUAGUAGUAGUAGCUCGUUUAACAUGCGAGAGGUACGGGGAUCGAUACCCCGCGCCUACA